rnacentral:rRNA from 1 species
GAUCCUGGCUCAGGAUGAACGCUGGCGGCGUGCUUAACACAUGCAAGUCGAACGAAGCACUUAAGAUUGAUUCUUCGGAUGAUGUCUUUUGUGACUUAGUGGCGGACGGGUGAGUAACGCGUGGGUAACCUGCCUCACGACAGGGGGAUAACAGUUAGAAAUGACUGCUAAUACCGCAUAACCCGAUAGGAUCGCAUGAUCCAGACGGAAAAGAUUUAUCGGUGUGAGAUGGACCCGCG